GCUUCUCAGCCUCAACGUGCGCGCCACUUCAACACGAGGUGACACAUUUUUCUCUCUCUCCAAGUACUGCACACACACCAACACGGGCAAACUGCUCACAGCCACCACGAGCAGCCGUUUGCAGUCACAGAGGAAUAUGCUGCAAACCCAAAGGAACUAGAGCUACACAGCUACACGGGAUAAAAAAACAUGACGAUGCCUGAGAUUGUGGCCCCUGGACGAUGAGCGGGUCCCGAGACUCUUUGAGGGAGAAACUCUGCACAGCGAGAGACCUGGAUGGCCUGAAAUCCUCUCUCCACCACCACACGGCCAUUCCCACCAGCAGCAAACUGAGAAAUACUGGAAAACAAACAAUAAAACACACACUUGUGAAAAAAACAACCUGAAGACACACAGACUGGUCCUAUUUUAACAACCUCAAAUUAACAUGAUUUAUUCAGCAAAGUUAGACACUUGGAACUCCUCACAGUGUGUUAGACACUUGGAACGCCUCACAGUGUGUAAGACACUUGAACGCCUCACAGUGUGUUAGACACUUGAACGCCUCACAGUGUGUUAGACACUUGAACGCCUCACAGUGUGUUAGACACUUGGAACUCCUCACAGUGUGUUGGACACUUGGAACUCCUCACAGCGUGUUGGACACUUGAACGCCUCACAGUGUGUUAGACACUUGGAACGCCUCACAGCGUGUUGGACACUUGAACGCCUCACAGUGUGUUAGACACUUGGAACUCCUCACAGUGUGUUGGACACUUGGAACUCCUCACAGUGUGUUAGACACUUGGAACGCCUCACAGUGUGUUGGACACUUGAACGCCUCACAGUGUGUUAGACACUUGGAACGCCUCACAGUGUGUUAGACACUUGGAACGCCUCACAGUGUGUUAGACACUUGAACGCCUCACAGUGUGUUAGACACUUGGAACGCCUCACAGUGUGUUAGACACUUGGAACGCCUCACAGUGUGUUAGACACUUGGAACGCCUCACAGUGUGUACAGCGCCUUCAUCUCCGUGUGUGGAAACAGUUGCUCAACAUCUGUUAACUAGUGUAUAAAUGACAGACCCUGAAUGUUGCAUGUUCAUGAAUCAUCUGGGAGUGACCGGCUAGGAUCAGCUAGAAAGCUGUAACAACAUGAAAUAAGCGGGAACAAAAUGACAUCCUUAUUUAUGAAUACUUAUCUGGCUUAUCCUCAUUAGAACCAAUAUUUAGUUAUAAGUUUACGUCACAGGGCCUAAACGGGCCUGAUGGAGAUAAUUACAUUUACAAUUGAUAAAUAUUGUCAUCUAUAAUUUAGAUUUGCUACGGUUAAAUUUGACGGGUGAGGAGAUGCUUGCUCGUCGGUAAAAAUUGUUUAUACGUUUGUUGUUUAUACCUUGUUCUUUUCUGUAUACUGUUGAUCUAUUUAUUCUUGGACUGCCCGAUGGAGAAAACUGUUUUAAAGGAAGGAGGACUGUAGUGGGAGCACUGGGGUGUCAGGUUUCACUGUGUGGCGAUGGCAAAUGGUUUACAUAGCUCUUGAGUCAGGUAAUAGGGGGCCCCUGAGUGGUCUUUAACAGUAGUGUGCUAUGUUGCCAUUACUGAAGAAAGAUAAACACAGAGGGUUUUAUUUGUUGUAGGAAAAGAAGGUCUUACUGAUCAGAGAGAGGACUCCAGCAAAUGUAGGGUCGGACAAACUGGAAGCAUGAACUGUGCGAGAGAUAGCAGGAGUUUCUUGAGAUUCAUUUUGUCCCAUUUCGGGAAAAAUGCAGGUGAACUCUGGACUCUCGGACUGCAGGUGGACCGCGCACUCGUGCCGACACACCUCCCCAGGACGUCCGCACACUGACGGCCCUAAGAUACCAGCAGAACGUAGUCAGUUGAGAGGAAUCUGUGACUUUUGAGGUGGCGAUUACCUUUUUUAUUUAUAGCACCUUCCAUGAAGUACGUGCCUGAUCACAAAGGUUUACCAAUCAGCAACAGUUAUCGUGAAGUCUGAGACGUAGCAUGCGCAGAAAGGGGCUUUUUACCAUUUGGUUGAAGGACAGGCUGAACGACGACCACUCCGCCCGGUGAGGUCAAAUUCGUCAGCAGUGUUUGAAGUUGGCUGCCAUUGUGCUUGUUUGCUCGGCAGAUGGAGCGCGUAACUUCUUCACUCCAAUAUACAAAACCCUGAAAUCGAAAUGGAAAGAGACUUAGCAGGAGAAGCUUCGCAACAACAUUGAGAAACGGGAUUUUCAGUUUAAAGUUGAAAUUAAAGGAUGGUAACUGGUUAUGUUUAGCGUUUCUCAACAAACUGCACCUUCUGUCCUUGAGGCCCAACAAACGUGCCGUGAUCAAUUCUCUUCCUUAAGGAAAACACUUAAAAAGAAGAUUUUACAAAAAAUAUUUAAUUCAUUUUUUUCCCCCAACAGCAGUUUUUGUUUUCAAUUAUAAUGUUACCUAAUAUUGUACUCAAUUUUAUUCUAUUUUUAAAGCCUAAUUUCUUCCAUUCAGUCAAUUUUUUUUCUCCAAUUAAAGCACUUUGCGACUUUGUUCUGAAAUGUGUUGUAUGAAUAAAGUUUUAAUUGUA